CACAGUUUGACAUCAAGAGGAAUGCAAACAGAUGCUUUAUUUUUAGCAUAGUUAUUCUCUCAGGUUGGUGCUAUCUUUCAUCUUGGCUCAAUGAGGUGGGCUUAAAUCUACCUUUCUUCAUGCAGACGCCUGUGUCAGUGCUUGCAGAAUCUCUGCCCUUGUUUGGAAGAAGAGUGCUUUCUGUGAGACUAGGACGUAGUGAAUUGAAGCUUAAGGCUUGUGAUGUACCUACAUCAUGUCUAUUUCAGAGCCUCAGAAAAGGGUGCUCCAGCUUUUUUUGGAAGAGGAUAGAUUCCGUAAGCAUGGCUGUGGACACAGCAUACAGGUAUUCUGCAUUUCUGCCUCUGUGGAGCCAAAAGAGCGUCAGAUUGCCACAUUGCAGUUCAGGGGCUGCUUUUUCGUGGCGUUCCCUCUGCAAGGUACUGCACAGAGUGAAUGUAUGUGGCAGAGGACCAGACUUGAUAUCCCAUGGACAUUUAUGCAUGAAGAUGAACUAUCUCCCAAGUGCACAACUAAAGCUGGUAUGCAAACCUUAA
rnacentral:lncRNA from 1 species